rnacentral:rRNA from 1 species
UACGAAGGGGGCUAGCGUUGCUCGGAAUCACUGGGCGUAAAGCGCACGUAGGCGGAUCUUUAAGUCAGGGGUGAAAUCCUGGAGCUCAACUCCAGAACUGCCUUUGAUACUGGGGAUCUCGAGUCCGGAAGAGGUGAGUGGAACUCCGAGUGUAGAGGUGAAAUUCGUAGAUAUUGGGAAGAACACCGGUGGCGAAGGCGGCUCACUGGCUCGUAACUGACGCUCAGGCGCGACAGCGUGGGGAUCAAACAGG